rnacentral:lncRNA from 1 species
GUGAACCAGGCCAGGAGCGAGCUGGGUUGGUGGAAAUGCCGUCUUCAAAGGAGGCUGGAAGGUCAUCAUUCUUCUUCUCUACCUUACAAGGAAGAACAUUCUUAGAGGACACAACAGAUUGGAGAAUCAUUUAGCAAAUGUUUACUUGCUUCCAUCUAUCUUGGGGCAGAGCAUACCUUGACCAUUAUCUUACUUUGCCAAUGGAAGGCCCCAGGACUAGUCAUGUGGAACAGAUCCAAGCCCAAAGUGAAGCCAGAGCUGCCUCCUAGCCCACCCACAGACCUGUAAUCAAGAAAAAAAAUGCUUAUUUUCUCUCUCUCUUUUUUUUUUUGGUACUGGGGAUCGAAGGUCCUUGCGCUUUCAAGGCAGGCGACAGAACCACUGAG